AACGAACGCUGGCGGCAUGCCUAACACAUGCAAGUCGAACGAGACCUUCGGGUCUAGUGGCGGACGGGUGAGUGACGCGUGGGAACCUGCACUUCAGUGGGGGAUAACGACGGGAAACUGUCGCUAAUACCGCAUACGCCCUACGGGGGAAAGAUUUAUCGCUGAAGGAUGGGCCCGCGUCGGAUUAGCUAGUUGGUGAGGUAAUGGCUCACCAAGGCGACGAUCCGUAGCUGGUCUAAGAGGAUGAUCAGCCACACUGGGACUGAGACACGGCCCAGACUCCUACGGGAGGCAGCAGUGGGGAAUAUUGGACAAUGGGGGAAACCUUGAUCCAGCAAUGCCGCGUGAGUGAUGAAGGCCUUAGGGUUGUAAAGCUCUUUCGGUGGUGACGAUGAUGACGGUAACCACAGAAGAAGCCCCGGCUAACUUCGUGCCAGCCGCCGCCGUAACAC
rnacentral:rRNA from 1 species